GUGCCAGCAGCCGCGGUAAGACGAACCGUGCGAACGUUAUUCGGAAUCACUGGGCUUAAAGCGCGUGUAGGCGGGUCGGCGCGUCGGACGCUGAAAUCCCCCGGCUCAACCGGGGAAGGGGCGCCGAUACGGCCGGCCUGGAGGGACGUAGGGGGGGCUGGAACUUCCGGUGGAGCGGUGAAAUGCGUUGAGAUCGGAAGGAACGCCCGUGGCGAAAGCGAGCCCCUGGACGUUUACUGACGCUGAGACGCGAAAGCCAGGGGAGCGAACGGGAUUAGAAACCCUGGUAGUCC
rnacentral:rRNA from 1 species